rnacentral:rRNA from 1 species
UGAGUACGAGAUGCUACGGCAUCGAAGCAGUCUAUGUCAUACUUCCAAGAAAAGCUUGCACUGUCAUAAACAAAGAAUGCCUGUACCAUAACCGACACAGGUGGGUAGGUAGAGUAUACUAAGGGGCGCGAGAUAACUCUCUCUAAGGAACUCGGCAAAAUGACUCCGUAACUUCGGGAGAAGGAGUGCCUUAUUUCUAAGGUCGCAAUAACAAGAUCCAAGCAACUGUUUACCAAAAACACAGGUCUCCGCUAAGUCGUAAGACGACGUAUGGGGGCUGACGCCUGCCCAGUGCCAGAAGGUUAAAGAAGUUGGUUAGCAUUAGCGAAGCUGAUAACUGAAGCCCUGGUGAACGGCGGCCGUGACUAUAACGGUCCUAAGGUAGCGAAAUUCCUUGUCGGGUAAGUUCCGACCCGCACGAAAGGCGUAAUGAUUUGGAUACUGUCUCGGAGAGGGGCUCGGUGAAAUAGACUUGUCUGUGAAGAUGCGGACUACCUGCACCUGGACAGAAAGACCCUAUGAAGCUUUACUGUAACUUGAGAUUGAAAUUGGACUUUAUUUGCGCAGUAUAGGUGGGAGGCGUUGAGAAUAAUCUUGCGGGAUUGUUGGAGCCAUCAGUGAGAUACCACUCUUGUAAUGUUAGAUUUCUAACUUUGUAUCAUUAUCUGGUCAAAGAACAGUUUCAGGCGGGCAGUUUGACUGGGGCGGUCGCCUCCCAAAGGGUAACGGAGGCGCACAAAGGUUUCCUCUGAACGGGUAGAAAUCGUAUCUAGAGUGUAAAGGCAUAAGGAAGCUUGACUGUGAGACCUACAAGUCGAGCAGGGACGAAAGUCGGUCUUAGUGAUCUGACGGUGCUGAGUGGAAAGGCCGUCACUCAACGGAUAAAAGUUACUCUAGGAUAACAGGCUGAUCUCCCCCAAGAGUUCACAUCGACGGGGAGGUUUGGCACCUCGAUGUCGGCUCAUCGCAUCCUGGGGCGGUAGUCCGUCCCAAGGGUUGGGCUGUUCGCCCAUGAAAGCGGUACGCGAGCUGGGUUCAGAACGUCGUGAGACAGUUCGGUCCAUAUCCGGUGUAGGCGUUAGAAUAUUGAGAGGAGCCUUCUCUAGUACGAGAGGACCGAGAAGGACAUACCUCUGGUGUACCAGUUAUCGUGCCAACGGUAAACGCUGGGUAGCUAUGUAUGGAGUGGAUAACCGCUGAAAGCAUCUAAGUGGGAAGCCCACCUCAAGAUAAGUAUUC